GGAAGGCGUCAGAUUCCUCAAUAGCAUUGGGCAGCAUCCAUCCGAUGGUGUCCUGGGACCUUGGAACAUCUCAGGUUGUACAACCCUAGAAGUUCUUGACCACCACACUCUUUCUGGCUCCAGGGGAUCCAAGACCUCCAUUAUUUCAAGAUCUAGUCUCCGGAAAUCUUACAAGGGCCUCCAGAAAUGUGACACCAGAGAAUACUACCUGGACACUGGUUCUGAGAGACCAGAUUUUUGAGAUUCAGACUCCAAAGAUGGAUAAAACCCGGCCCAAGUUUGAACUCAAGUAAACUAUCAGGUGAUGAAGCUACUGUUGCUUGUCCAGGCCCUACUUUCAGAAGUGUUGGUCUAGCAUGCCUGACUGGUGAGGAGGUUGUUCAGGUUUUGGUAUUUAUGGAAUUUCUACUUUCCUGAAGUUCUAGGAAUACAUGGCAAGUAGCUUGAGUCUAAAUGAAUAACUUGUCUUCAUAGUUUGCAUGGUGGUUAGUGUUUGUUGAUCAUCAACUUGACAGCACCUGGAGUUGCCCUGGAGACACACCUCUAGGCACACAUGUGGAAGAUUAUUAGAUUAUUAGCUCUAUUAUGUAAGGUAUUACUAGAUCAGAUUAGCCGCUGGGUAUGCCUGUGAGGGACCAUUUUGAUUUGACUAAUUGAAGUGUGAAGACCCACCCACCAUGGUUGACUGGGAUAGUGGACUGGAUAAGAGGGAUGAAGUGACCUGAACACCAGCAUCUUCCUCUGCUCCCUGACUGCAGUCAGCACAACAGCUCUCAGGCUCCUGCUGUCUUGACUUUCCACCUAUAAAACAAAGCAAAUCCUGUCCCCAAAUGUUGCUUUCGUAAGCUUAUUUGAUCAUAGCAACAGAGAAUUAAGAAAGACAGAUUAGUUUUUACUUAACCUUCUUCAAAUCCAUAGGAAUCUUAGCCAUGAGUUGUAACCUAUUGUGCAGGAAAACUGGGAAUGUAGGGAGAAGAGACAAACACACUUUUCAAAGUGCUUCUCCUUUCACAAGCAUUUUAUGGGAACGCAGGAACUCAGAAACAGAAAGUGGUCAACUGCAAUGGAACUGAAAGGACACAACUCCAGUCACAGGGUUAAUCCCAUGAGUCACAUGGCAUGACUAUGAGCCAUGAGCUCUGCUUCCAAAGCCACUGUGUACUUAUUUCAUUUUUCCCUGCUACCUGAAUCCAGUUCCAUCGUGCCUGCAUCUUUCUGCCAUGUGUGACAGUAUUAACAUGUUAAUUUCCCAUGAUUCUCUGCUUCCCCCUUUGUAUUCUAAUGGCCAUGGUGCUUGUUCAAAAAAACACCAUGCUAUGAUGUAUUUACUCCUGGGCCUAUCCUAUAGCCACAUAGUGAAUUUCAACCAUUAAAACUUAAUGGUUUGAAUUAUGCUGUGACUAACACUAGUUUUUGUUUACAUUUAAAGGGCAGAGCCUUUGACUCAUUUUUAUCUUUGAGGGGAAUCUUGCAACUCUGCUUCUCUGCCCCUGGACAUAGAGUCUCUGAGUCCCGUCUCAAGUGCAUGAAUCAUAAAAUACCCCUCCCUCAGAUCCAGUAGACUCCAUAGUAGGAAAAUCCAGGUUCAGACCCUUUACAGAUUCAUUACCUCCUUACCUUGUCCAGUACAAAGACUGCAGCACUGUAUCAGGAGUGACACAUGCUCUCAUGCUCCCUGGUGCCUCUGCCCUCCCGGUCAGAGUCCACACCCCAGGGUGAGCCCCCAACUCCAUCCAUCAGACUGCCCUCUUUUCAAAGCCUCCAGUUACAAGCAGGCAGGGCCUGCCAGAACUCUAGCUCCUACUGCUGACCCCCCCCCCCAUUACUCCACGGUGUGGAAACUGCCACUCUUGCAGCGCCUUCUCUGUGAGGUUUGGGUCAUGAAUCCCACACUUAGGACAAGAUGAAGUUUCUAAGCCUGCUUCCCGCUCUCAUGCUUGCCUUCCUGCUUCUGCAUAUUCUGAUCUUUCAGACCAAAAACUCACCCUGGGUGUCUUUUCCUUCUAUUUUCUCAGUUCAGUUCUAGACAUCUUUUCAAAUAUACUUUCCUGUAAAAGGAAUACUUAUCAUCUCAAAUCUUGCAAAACAUAAAGAAUUGUGGACAAGAGCAACUGUGAUUCAUGCUUUUUUUUUAUUUUUGCAAGUUAUCUUUUUGUUUGUCCAUAUUUAUUAGUCACACCUGUAAAUAGUUUGUAUCCUGUUUUUAAUCAUGAGAAGUCUUGCUUCUUUAGUCCUUAUCUCUUUUCCAAAAAAUGUAAUUCUAAUAUUGGCACCUUAGAUUUUUUUAGGCUCCUUAGUGUAUCUGUAGCAAGGAUGCUAUCAAGGAAGGAUGUAGAAAUUGACAAACUUCCCAGAGGAUCAUGAAUAUUUACAUCUCAAUAACCUUCUUGUAAGUCACAGUGUUUGACUUGGCCCUCAAUCAUUUAAUUCUGUAUUUCUUUGACUAGGUUGCAUGGUUUUCUACAUUUCUUUUUUUUUUUUUUCUUUUCUUUUUUUCGGAGCUGGGGACGGAACCCAGGGCCUUGCGCUUCCUAGGCAAGCGCUCUACCACUGAGCUAAAUCCCCAACCCCGGUUUUCUACAUUUCUUAAUGAUAUGUGUUCCUUCUUCUGUGCACUGUCUUUGAAUGUCCUGUCAGUUUUCAGUUGUCCUGUGUAGCCAUUCUCAGUGCUUUAAGGAAACACCUGCUCCCUGAGAAGUUCUUCAGACAGGUUUGCUCUGCUGGGGACAUCUUAGCACUGCAGGAGCCCAUUGCUACUGAGAAUCUUCAUUUGCAUUAAACCAUUGAGUCUUGUCUCCCUCUAGUGGACAAGGAGCAAAGUGCACCCAGCCAACUGCUGUGCAUGAGGUCUGUGUCAGGGAUUUAAUACAUUUACUGAUCAACCAGUGAAGAUCCCUGCCCAGUGGACGGUAACUGGACAUGGCUGUCAUCAGAGCAGUUUAUCAGCAUUUCAUGUAAAACAAACAGGAACACUAAGCUCUUGGAUAAGCCUAGGGAAUUUUGUUUAAGGUGAAAUCAGCCCUAUUUUGAAAAAUCCAUACUUGCAUAGCUAGAGAUUGAAAUAUUGCUGGCAAUUUGCUCAUAGGAAAAAGUCUGAUAUUUGUUUAAUCUCAAAAAACCCUUCCUCUGCAAACUAUUAUAAUAUUGCAUGUACUGAUUCAUUUGGCAUUGUAUCAAAUUAUCUAAACAAUUACUAUAACAUACCUUCUAAAAGUAGGACAAAAAAGAUGCACCUCCUCGGUCCAAAAGGAAAAAAAAUGCAUCAUUGAUGUUGAACACAGAAAGAAAAGCUAGAGCAAAACCAACUGCCCUUUCCAUUGCGUCAUACGCUCAAUUCAUAUUUUCAGCUUUCUGGAGCAUGCAAAGCCCUCACAAAGUGGAUUCCAUGUUAGUUUGCCAUGAAUGGCUGCGCCAGUUUCUGUAGAUCAGAGGUCUUGUGAAAACCACUUUUAGGAAUACUGAAGUCUGGAAAAUGAUGAAGAUAUAGAGGUCCAUGCUUAGAGGUCUUCUGAGUCUCCUUCAGCUCUGUCCUCAAGUUUAAAGGCUCCAUAGUAAGCACGAUACCGUUGGGGAGGAAAAAUCAUCCCACAGAUAAAGAUAAAGGCUUUCAGAAGGAAGGAAUUCCAUUAUGUUAUUUGUCUUAGCUUGGAAUUCUCACCCUAUGGCUGAUGGAUGUGGAUGGGCCUUAAAAGAGGAGCCUGAGGGACAUCAGGGAGACUGACUCCCUCAAGGCUGUUCUACAUUCUCAGGUUUCCAGGACAUUGCCAGACUACAAAGACCCCAGACUUCCCCACACAAAUUCCUUAGCUAGUGUUCCUACAUGCAUACUAGGUUAUUUUGUAUUUAUUUUUCUCGGCAAUGCUAAGGAUUGGAUAGAGGACCCACGUGAUUGCGUGCGCGCAUGCUCGCAUGCAAGCACUAACGCAAGCACGCACGCAAGCACGCACGCAAGCACGCAGGCACACAUGCACGCACGCACUCACGCAAGCACCCACGUGCGCACAUUCAUACAGACACACGCAGCACACGCACACACAAAUAAUUAAAAUGUAAAAUAUUUCUGAAUGUGCUCUAUUCUCCUACCUCUCUGCCUACCUUUAUUACAUCUGUGGAUCCUGAAUUAUACAGGGAUGCUUCCCUCCCCACAUCCAUCUUCCCUGCUGGUGGAGUCUUCCAGAACAACCCAAGCUGCCGUGACAAGUCAGCUAUCCCAGGGGGACUUCCAUUCUCCUGUCACCUCUCCUCCCACCUUCAUCAAACCUGCUUUGUGUGAAUCAUACAGUGGCUGUUCCAUGCCUUCAGGGGGAAGUUCAAUAAAGUGUCUAUCAGCUCUUGAUAAAGAAUAUCUUCACCAUAAACAAGAGAACAUGAGAACUGCUUCCACAGAAACAGGACACAUCAGAACAUAGUUAAAGGCAAACUGAGAAAAACAUUUUCUUCUCAAUGGUGGCAUUUCAGCCCCUACUUGCACCUGUCACCAGUCCUUACUUGAUCCUGCCUGGGAGCUGCAUCUCGAUGUCUCCACAACAUGGGUGAAUAUAUUGAAACUAUGCCUCCUCUCAAGGCUUACUCAGUGAAACGAUAUACUCCAACCUGCAUACAUUUAAAGGUGUAGGAAAAAGAUAUUGGCCUCCGGGAAACUGCAAAAACUGUGGGAAUUGGACUGUAUGUCACAUGAAUGGAGCCUGGGUUUAUCCAUUUCAGGAAGAAGAAUCUCCCUCAUCCAAGGUCUUUAGAUGUUUGGGUGUUAACAAAGCUCUUCUACCCAUAUCAAGACCUUAACCAACUCUCCCUAUCCUCAGCAACUGAGUUGAAAUGAAGUAGUAAGAACUCUUUAGCUCUGGAAGGAGAAUGGACAAAUGGGUAUUCCCUGGCUCAAGAGUGAGUUUCAGGGAAAGGCACUCCACAAACAGGUCAGUGUGGUUAGAGGUAGUUAGAAAGUAGGCUACGGCAUUUCCCAGUGACAUCAUCAGUAGUGUCUUCACGGCACAUUCUCUGGUAUCCGGGAGAACCAUUGAAUAUUCUGUGAUGUCACCAGUGUUGUGGUGACACCAACUGCCUGAAAGCUGUCCCUUCAGACCCUCAAGGGUUCAGAAGCAGGCAUGUGGUCCAGGCUGCUCGGUCUAUUUAGGAGGGAUAAUCAUAUACAGGCAGAGACCAAACCAAGGCAGAAUGAGGCUGGCCUUCUAUCAUUUUGGAGAAAAGGACAAAAGAAAUGGUCCCGGGGAAGGCUCAAGUUUGCUCAGAAGGCAUCAUGCCAGCCCUCCUCGACCCCUGAGGAGGAGGAGAGGAUGAACAGUUUGGAGAAGCUAAGAAUUGCUCUCCACAAGAUGCAAAAGGAGAGAGAUGAACUCCAGAGAAUCCUCUCUUCUUACCCAAGGAAUGACCUAAACUACAGGUCUUCAAUUCUCCAUCAGAAGCUUGAAUAGUGCACAGACCAGGACUACAUCUCUCUGUGACAGAACUGUCCACCAGGAGCACUGAGUGUGCAAAGAAUGUCAACAACUCCCCCAUCUCAGUCCUAAUAACCAUAGCAAUCUUAGGGUGCAUUUUGUUCUUUACUUUGCUUUCCUAUGUGUGAGGGUCCUUCAUGAUCAGUCAGGCAAAUUUCAAAGACCUUGAGAUAUUGCCUGUAACAUUCUCAUGCUUAACCUUUGGAGGACAUGUCCAUCAGCAACCCACCACACCCUUUGAGGCAGGUCUACACUGAUCUUCAAGAGAUUAUUACCAUCUUGCCUGCCUUUCUGCUUUGUUUGCAAGGCCAGCAGCAGGCUGUGGUGUACGUAACAAAUCUGCAGCAGUCAAGUGCUGCUCCUCUCACCUGUUUUCUUUUGUUUCUGGUUAGAAGUUUGAUUGCUUUAGGUUUUGCUUUGUUUUCAGUUGAAAUUUUGUUAUUUAUUUGUUAUCUUUUUCAUUUUUUAAUUAGUUUGUUAUAUUACUAAGGUUAUAUACAUUGAACUCAUUGACUUCCCACUUUAAAUGUUGUUUAAUAAAUCAAUGUGUGAUUAUAAAUAAAAAUGUGACCUAACCCUUCACUCGAA